rnacentral:lncRNA from 13 species
UGCUUCUGGAAAGCAGUAAGGGCAAAUUUGGAAGAUUUGGGAGAAAAGUUUUAAUCAUUUGCACUGACUUAGGUCAGAGGAUACAUGAUUAAGAUGUACCAGAUGAGGGAGAUUUUGACUUAUGCAUCUGAAAAGCAGGCUCAUAUACUACUGAGGCAACCUAAUCUAGGGCCUGUUAGAACAUUCCUAUAAGAGUAUCACGUUCUUACACUGAGAAUAUUUUAUGUCCUUGUGCUAUGACAGGACACAGAUUUGGUCUUGUGUGAAGUGCGAUUUGCUUAAUGUGACCUUCUUUUCUGAAUUUAUUUACAGAAGAUCGAAAAGGUCACGACAAAGAACAGAAAUACAGAGACAGGAAAAAUAAACUUCUUAUGAGUCAAGUUGCCUACUACCUGGGCUGCCGGCAUAAGACGGAAGUUCCUGGCUUUCUGUUAUCUUCUUCAAACAUCAGCAAGGUGGCAUCUGGCCGGCCUCCUUACAGAAAAUACACAGAGGUGAAGGUUCCAGAAGGCAUUGAGAAAUCUUGCUCCCAGCAGGAAGAUAACAAACCGAAUGUCAGAGUCAGCGAAAAUAGAUGUCUUCUGAGUGAGGUGAACUACUCCCUGAACUGCCGGCUGAAGACCUACAAUGAUCAAAAAGAUCAUGAUGAAGAACAGAAAUGCAGAGACAGCAAAAAUAAACAUCUUAGGAGUCAAGCGGCCUACUACCUGGACUGCCGGCUGAAGACGGAAGAAAGUCAAGGUGAUGUUGAGGAAGAGGAGGAGAAAGGGCCAGUGCCCCCCAGGAAUCUGCAGGAGUCUGUGGAGGAGGAAGCCCCCCAGGAGUCCUGGGAUCAAGGUGAUUCGACUCUCUCAGUUCCUCCUGGCCCAUCUGCCCUCAAUGAGACUUUGAGGAGCAACUUGCACUCAUUAGAGGAGCAGCAAGUCAUCUUGGCUGUUGACAUAGACAGUGAGUACUCCAUUGUGAAGGUGCUAAAGCUCCAUUUUGUGUCCCAGAUAGACCCCAUAGUCUUUGGGCAUUGCUCCCCUGGCCGGGCUGAGAGUUGUCAUCACUGUGGGCUGAGCCUGUACGUGAGUGUAGAUUUCAAUCACUCUGGAUUCCAGUCUGAAGCACCGGCAUGGAGUGCGACAGUGAGCUUUGCCCUGUCUCUAGUCUCAGGCCAUGCCCGUCGCACCCUGGACCGACUGUCAGGACAUUGAAACUUAAGGCAGGUGUUGCACACUCACGCCAAGCUCUGCAGCACAUGCCCACAAGUUGUCUGUCAAUCUGAAUUAAAUGUCUCUUGCCAGCUACCAACUUCCUCAUGAGUUUUGUUCCCCAAGCAUGUCUGUGAGGUUCUUCCCUGUUUGUACAACCUUGGUGUAACUGUCUGUAGAAACUUGGGAUAAAAGGAUAAUGGUCUACCAGAAUAGGGACAUUUCAUCAUUGGUCUGAGACAGGAACCAAGAAAUCUCUCUCAUGAUUGGCCUUCAGACCUUCUGAAGUCUGUCUCUCACAUUAUCCUGCUCUCAUGUUGAGGAGCCUGAGGUCCCUGUGCAGGGAUUAGACAGUGGACGGUUAUGGGUGUAGGAUAAUUGGCUUAUUUUGUCUGUCCCUGUCUGAAUUUAUUGCAGAGAUUAAAAAUGACCAAGCAUCAGUAGAAGACCAAGGCCCACCAUGCCCCAGGUAACUUUGAGCAAUUGUGAACAGCUAAUUUUAUGUUGACACCUGGAGACACCAGGUCCAGGGAAAAGAGUGGGCUGACAAUAUCGAUACCAUGUUUUCAAUGAAGCCUGAAUGAUUUCUACUAACAUUGCUGUUGGUUUUCAUUGCGGUAGAUACUUAGGUUUCCAUUUCUCCCUCCCCUUAUCAUUUACUAACUACCGUAGGUUGACGAUACUUGUUUUUAUGAUCAGUGUACGCUGUGUGUCCUGAGGGUACUCACUCAGAGUGUCCUUUUACUCCCUCAUCAGUGUGUCACCU